rnacentral:rRNA from 1 species
GAUGAACGCUGGCGGCGUGCCUAAUACAUGCAAGUCGAGCGAAAAGAUGAGGAGCUUGCUGCUCUGACGUUAGCGGCGGACGGGUGAGUAACACGUGGAUAACCUACCUAUAUUACUGGGAUAACUUCGGGAAACCGGAGCUAAUACCGUAUAAUAUAUUGAACCGCAUGGGGCAAUAGUGAAAGACGGUUUUGCGGUCACUUAUAGAUGCAUCCGCGCUGCAUUAGCUAGUUGGGAAGGUAAAGGCUUACCAAGGCAACGAUGCGUAGCCGAGCUGAGAGGGUGAUCGGCCACCUGGGAGGUGAGACGCGCACCAGGCUCCUACGGGAGGCAGCAGUCGGGAAUCUGCCGCAGCAGGCGAAAGCAUGGCAGAGCAACGCGACGUGAGUGAUGAAGGUCUUCGGAUCGUAAAGCUCUCUUAUGAGGGAAGAACAAAUGUGUAGGUAAAUGUGCACGUCGUGACGGUAACUAAUCAGAAAGCCACGGCUAACUACGUG